rnacentral:lncRNA from 1 species
GCAGCCUCCGUUUUGGGUCCCCGGGAAGCCACAGUCGCCCCCCAGCGCCCCCAGCGGAGCCUCCCCGGGGGAAGGGGCGUGGCGCUGGGGGGGGCAGAGUCACCCCGAGGGCCGUGGGCGGUGCCCGGCUGUCCCGGGAGCGGCCGCCUCCCUUCUCGGCAGAAGCCCUCCCCGCCGGCCGAGCGGGGACGCGGGAGCUGAGGUUGGGCCGCGGGCGGAUGGAGGUCUGGGGGAGGGUCGGCCGGGAGCGCUGGCGCCAGCGGAGCUGGCUGGGAGCCUCCGAGGCUGACAGCUCUUCUGGGGCCGCCCUUGCCCCCGCGGAGUGAUUCAACCCCGGCUCGCUGCCUCUGCCUGGCGGGUCGGUGCACCCCCAGACCGAGGCCUGGGGCGUUCUGCUUCAGCAGACCGAAACCAGAAACGCAGCCCCCGCCACCCAGGCCGAGUGUGCCGAGAAGGAGCCGGCACCCUUUUCAGGGUGUCAGGGGACUGUGUGCCCGGACCUGUGCACCCUCCUGUCUACCUGGAGACCCUCUUCGCCAUCGUUGCCAGCGUACUCCUGGCCUCAGACUCCCCAGAGGGGACCCCCCCCACACACACCCCUGCAGAGCCUGGCAGAGGGCAGCUGUGGGGGCUGCUGGAGCCGCGGGUGUGAUCUGGAGGGGACACGGGGCCCGGCUGUGUUUCUGGGGCAUAAGUGAGACUUCCUUUUGUUGUAGUCACUGCCCCGUUGAUCCACACACGUCACGAAUCAGUGACAGAGACUCGCUGUGGAAACCGGAGUGCGCUGGCCUGCCUGCUACCCUCCGGUGUUUGUGACUUUUUACCAGCUGUCCUGACGAAGCACAGGGUGGAGCGAGCGCUGGUGUGCUGGGUGGAUUCUCAUCCCCCGAUAGCUGGAAAGUUGCCCCUCAUGACACUGGCCACUGCAUCGACAGCCUCUGUUGCUGGGUGUUUCUUCUAAGCAAUUAAGUAGGAGAUGAUGAAACCUCUCUUCCGUGGGGGGAGGCAGGACCAGCGCCCCGUCUUUAUCAGCCAGUGGCCAUAAAUGUGGACCAUGAACUUUCCCACUUGCUGUCAGCCCGGGCAUCGCAGGUUUGCUGAGGUGCUGGAUAUUUGGAGGUGAGAGAUUUGAGGCACUCGAUUUUCUGGCAGGAACCAGCACAGGCCACGAGUCUCGGACUUCGUGCGGAGGUCUGCUGGGUAGGCUGAAGGAUGCAUCGUUUACCUUUUUUGUCUGCACGGGUCUUGCACAUCGUGUGCUACUGAUUUUAAUGUGAAAAUCCCCACGUCAGCGGGUCUGGUUGGAGUCCCGUUGGUCUGGAUGUUUUGGGAGAAUGUGAGAGGAGAGGGGAGCAGGCCCUGCGCUGGGCGCAGAUCCGUCUGAGUGCGCUGAGAAGACGUCAGGUGAAGGCCGAGGUAGCCGGGUGUCCUCUUUCUUCUGUGUCCACCUUCAUUUUGUCCUCUUCCUCUUUUUGCCCAGUGUCUUCUGAGUGGGUGGAGCCAGGCGUGCCCACCAGAUGCGGGUAGCGUGUGCUAGGCCAGGACGGCUCCCCAGGCUCAAGUCGGCCUCCUCCUGGGCCGAGGUGGGUUGGCUGCCUGUCCCCAGCUGAGUUGUGGCUGUUCCCCUCACCUGCUCAGAUGAAGGCAGCGCUGUCAGAGGUGACCAGAGCCCGCUCCCUCGACCUUCAGGAUCCCCCGAGAGGGAGGCAACGUGUCAGGACGGUGUAUGUGGAGAGAGGCUUGAGGCUCGGUGCCCGAGCACGGGCAGGAGGACAGUGGCCUCGAUGCCAGAGACCGGAGGGAGGGACGCGACGAUGAGGCUGCAUAAGAAGAGAGCUGACUGUAGCUGAGUGUGUCAGCCACUCACCACCGAGUCCAGUUUCCGCACAGCACGAUCAUCGUGCCCUUGCUCACACACGUGUUAGAUGAGCUUGUGUGAGCUUUAUGGGCUGUAAUUUGUGAGUCUGUUCUGGGUGUGUGAUCCUGGCAGCCGGCUCGGCCUGGCCGCUCGUGACCUGGGGCCUUGUGGGGGUGGGGAGAGGGUGAGGAGGGGUGCACCCUCGACACCACCCUCUGAUGUGGCCUGCAGCCUAUGAAGAGUGAGGUUUGGGGGCCCAGAGUGUGAGUCACCAGCGGUAAAUGCAAACCAUAUGUGAUGCAUUUUCUCUGCUGCAGAAAGGGUUUCUGGUGACUGGCUCAGGCCAGGGCUCUGGAAACAGCAUUGCUUAUUUCACAUAAAAAUCCUAAGAAUGUGGGUGAACCUGUCUGAGAUCUGCGUAAUAAAACACUUAGUUGAAGUCACCGGGUUAGUUCCAGGCCCACUUGCUUAUGACGUGGCUGUUAGCCACGAGCUGGCAUUUACGUUAAAGUGUUGAGAAGAAGCGUGAGGGUUUUGAUGUUUCAGUUUCUUGAAAAUAUAACUGUUUCUACUCAGGACCUGCCUCUCCAAGAGUGUAGCACACUUCAUUUUUUUCUGUUUAGCAUGUAUGAGGGUGAACUUAGCUUGCUACUCACACACUACUCACUCUGUGGAGGAAGUUUGCCUCGCUUUUGUGGUGAGUCUUGCUGUAAUGAUAGCUUAUAUUUACAAAUACCGUCAGCAGUGCAGGGUCUUCAGGCUUGCAGAAAACGGUCAAGUCAUUACUUUGAGAAAUGUACAAACAUCUAUGCUUAAUGAGGUGCUAAAAGACAAAACUCAUCUACAAUCUCCUUCCCCCCAAACUGCCAACACUUCUGAUUAAUUUAAAAUCUGCUCUAAACGACAAAACUCAUCUACAACCUCCUUCCCCCCAAACUGCCAACACUUCUGAUUAAUUUAAAAUCUGCUCUAAAAGACAAAACUCAUCUACAACCUCCUUCCCCACAAACUGCCAACACUCUGGAUUAAUUUAAAAGCUGCUCUCUGGGCAGGUUGCAUCCCAGGGCUCCUCCUUCACACAUGGUGGGGCCCCACCUUCGCUUUACCUCUAGCGUCCCAGCCCUCGUGGUCAUCUGGAACCAGGGUUGGUACACAGGGCCUGCUGGCAUUCCUAUGAUACUCCGUGAUAUUCUGGAGGAAUCCAUCCCUUCCUUGGGGCUCCAUCCCACUGCCCCAGCACCUCCAGCCACCCUGAUUCAGGGACAUCGCAGAGAUUGGUGUUUGACGCUACGGCAGCAGAGGCGCAGACUCUUGAGUGUUGGAGGGUGUCUGGAGGGCCUGGGGGCCAGCACCGCCUGCACUCCCGGGAGCUCGGCCCCGCCCCACCGUGGCUCUGAGUGUCGGAGGGCGUCUGGAGGACCUGGGGGCCAGCACCACCUGCACUCCCGGGAGCUCGGCCCCUCCCCACCGUGGCUCUGAGUGUUGGAGGGCGUCUGGAGGGCCUGGGGGCCAGCACCGCCUGCACUCCCGGGAGCUCGGCCCCUCCCCACCGUGGCUCUGAGUGUUGGAGGGCGUCUGGAGGGCCUGGGGGCCAGCACCACCUGCACUCCCGGGAGCUCUGCCCCUCCCCACCGUGGCUCUGAGUGUGGGAGGGCGUCUGGAGAGCCUGGGGGCCAGCACCGCCUGCACUCCUGGGAGCUCGGCCCUGCCCCACCAUGGCUCUUGGUGCAGGUGCACUGGAAGGA